rnacentral:rRNA from 1 species
NCCUUAAAUCUAGUUCUCUCUUAGACAAUAAACAUCUCAUAAAAUUAAAACAAAAUAAAACAUUUUCUUAAGUUUAGGUAAAAGCGAUUGAAAAUCCUAAAGAAACUAUAAAUACAGGCACCGNAAGGGAAAGAUGAAAUANUUUGAANUAAUUUAAGGUAA